UCCAAGAUUUUGUUAUUGGGA
rnacentral:piRNA from 1 species